rnacentral:rRNA from 1 species
GAUGAACGCUGGCGGCGUGCUUAACACAUGCAAGUCGAACGGGAAACCUUUUAUUGAAGCUUCGGCAGAUUUAGCUGGUUUCUAGUGGCGGACGGGUGAGUAACGCGUGGGUAACCUGCCCUAUACAGGGGGAUAACAACCAGAAAUGGUUGCUAAUACCGCAUAAGCGCACAGGACCGCAUGGUCCGGUGUGAAAAACUCCGGUGGUAUAGGAUGGACCCGCGUUGGAUUAGCCAGUUGGCAGGGUAACGGCCUACCAAAGCGACGAUCCAUAGCCGGCCUGAGAGGGUGAACGGCCACAUUGGGACUGAGACACGGCCCAGACUCCUACGGGAGGCAGCAGUGGGGAAUAUUGCACAAUGGGGGAAACCCUGAUGCAGCGACGCCGCGUGAAGGAAGAAGUAUCUCGGUAUGUAAACUUCUAUCAGCAGGGAAGAUAGUGACGGUACCUGACUAAGAAGCCCCGGCUAACUACGUGCCAGCAGCCGCGGUAAGAC